rnacentral:rRNA from 1 species
UAGGGGAGCCGAAGGGAAACCGAGUCUUAACCGGGCGUUAAGUUGCAGGGUAUAGACCCGAAACCCGGUGAUCUAGCCAUGGGCAGGUUGAAGGUUGGGUAACACUAACUGGAGGACCGAACCGACUAAUGUUGAAAAAUUAGCGGAUGACCUGUGGCUGGGGGUGAAAGGCCAAUCAAACCGGGAGAUAGCUGGUUCUCCCCGAAAGCUAUUUAGGUAGCGCCUCGUGAAUUCAUCUCCGGGGGUAGAGCACUGUUUCGGCUAGGGGGCCAUCCCGGCUUACCAACCCGAUGCAAACUGCGAAUACCGGAGAAUGUUAUCACGGGAGACACACGGCGGGUGCUAACGUCCGUCGUGAAGAGGGAAACAACCCAGACCGCCAGCUAAGGUCCCAAAGUCAUGGUUAAGUGGGAAACGAUGUGGGAAGGCCCAGACAGCCAGGAUGUUGGCUUAGAAGCAGCCAUCAUUUAAAGAAAGCGUAAUAGCUCACUGGUCGAGUCGGCCUGCGCGGAAGAUGUAACGGGGCUAAACCAUGCACCGAAGCUGCGGCAGCGAACGUAUCACUUAAAGCGAUUCAGCGGGUUACGAUUGACGGAGCGAAGCGACGUCAAAGCGUAUACAAAGUCGAGUCGGUUUAAGGAUACGUUCGUUGGGUAGGGGAGCGUUCUGUAAGCCUGUGAAGGUGUGUCGUGAGGCAUGCUGGAGGUAUCAGAAGUGCGAAUGCUGACAUAAGUAACGAUA